rnacentral:rRNA from 1 species
GACGAACGCUGGCGGCGUGCUUAACACAUGCAAGUCGAACGAUGAAGCCGGAGCUUGCUCUGGUGAAUUAGUGGCGAACGGGUGAGUAACACGUGAGUAACCUGCCCUUGACUCUGGGAUAACUGCGGGAAACUGUAGCUAAUACCGGAUACGACCCUCGGAGGCAUCUCCAGGGGGUGGAAAGAAUUUCGGUCAAGGAUGGACUCGCGGCCUAUCAGCUAGUUGGUGAGGUAACGGCUCACCAAGGCGACGACGGGUAGCCGGCCUGAGAGGGUGACCGGCCACACUGGGACUGAGACACGGCCCAGACUCCUACGGGAGGAAGCAGUGGGGAAUAUUGCACAAUGGGCGCAAGCCUGAUGCAGCAACGCCGCGUGAGGGAUGACGGCCUUCGGGUUGUAAACCUCUUUUAGUAGGGAAGAAGCGAAAGUGACGGUACCUGCAGAAAAAGCACCGGCUAACUACGUGCCAGCAGCCGCCGUAA